rnacentral:rRNA from 1 species
UACGUAGGGUGCAAGCGUUUGUCCGGAAUUAUUGGGCGUAAAGAGCUCGUAGGCGGUCUGUCGCGUCUGCUGUGAAAACUCGGGGCUUAACCCCGGGCCUGCAGUCGAUACGGGCAAACUAGAGUACUGCAGGGGAGAACGGAAUUCCUGGUGUAGCGGUGAAAUGCGCAGAUAUCAGGAGGAACACCGGUGGCGAAGGCGGUUCUCUGGGCCUGUACUGACGCUGAGGAGCGAAAGCGUGGGGAGCGAACAGG